rnacentral:hammerhead_ribozyme from 1 species
AUCCAGCUGAUGAGUUCCAAAUAAGACGAAAUGUGCGUUCUGGGAU